CCCCUUUAAACCCGCGUCGCAAUCGCCUAUAUGAAGCCUGUCGGGUUCGCCCGACUAUGGGGAUAAACGCGGUGUGGAAUAGACGUUGCGGACCCGGGGGCGGUACCCGGCGCCUCCACCAUUCACCUUUGGCCUGAUGGCCAUUGGUUCAUGGGGGCGAAACAGGAUCGACGCGCGUAAUAAAGGCAUAGUCUUCCCUCGGCAUGAUACCGCCGUUAUCGGGUCAAACCUCAUAGAUGCCAACGAUAACUCGGCGUCUGACCUUCGCAUGGCUGCCUAAUUCCCCCUUAAGGGCGUUAGUCAGUUAGCUUAGUUCGCAGCCCGGGGGGAGCUGGGCAACAGAAUCCCCCCACC
rfam:Alpha proteobacterium AAP38 AAP38_Contigs_3, whole genome shotgun sequence.